rnacentral:rRNA from 1 species
UACGAAGGGUCCAAGCGUUAUCCGGAUUCAUUGGGUUUAAAGGGUGCGCAGGCGGGGCCUUAAGUCAGUGGUGAAAUCUCUUCGCUCAACGAAGAAACUGCCAUUGAUACUGAGGUUCUUGAAUGUAGUUGACGUUAGUGGAAUGUGUCAUGUAGCGGUGAAAUGCUUAGAUAUGACACAGAACACCGAUCGCGAAGGCAGCUAACGAAGCUAUUAUUGACGCUCAGGCACGACAGCAUGGGGAGCAAACAGG